rnacentral:rRNA from 1 species
UACAGAGGUCUCAAGCGUUGUUCGGAUUCAUUGGGCGUAAAGAGCUCGUAGGCGGUUCGGUAAGUCGGGUGUGAAAACUCUGGGCUCAACCCAGAGCCGCCAUCCGAUACUGCUGUGACUAGAGUGCGGUAGGGGAGCGGGGAAUUCCUGGUGUAGCGGUGAAAUGCGCAGAUAUCAGGAGGAACACCAGUGGCGAAGGCGCCGCUCUGGGCCGUGACUGACGCUGAGGAGCGAAAGCGUGGGUAGCAAACGGG